AACAAAAAUCAACCUCCCCAGUGUGGGCCGGCAUCGUCCAAUACAUUGCGGGCCUGAAUAUAACAAAAAGGUAAAGAAAGGGCUGAUUUUUCUCUUCCUGAGUUGGGACAUCCGACUUCUCCUGCCCUCAGACAUCAGAGCUCCUGGUUCUUGGGCCUGUGGACUCUGGGACUUACACCAUCAGCUCCUCUGGUUCUCAAGCCUUGAACUUGCACUGAAUUACACCACCAGCUUUCCUGGUUCUCCAGCUUGCAGAUAGCAGAUGGUGAGACUUCUCAUCUUCUAUAAUUGUGUGAAGCAAUUCUCAAGACAAAUAAAUCCAUUUAUAUCUAUACUUAUACCUAUACCUAUAUUUAUCUAUAUCAAUACCUAUAUUUAUACCUACACCUAUACCAAUAUCAAUAUACUAUUGGUUCUAUUUCCUUGGGGAAUCCUGACUAAUACAAUAUGUAAGCUGCACUGUGAGAUGCAGGUUGUAUUUAGGUGCCAUAGAAAAUCAUCUGAUGGUUUUAAGUGAGGGACCAACAUGAUCAGAUUUUUUGUUUUAGAAGAAUUGGUCUGCCUGACUUGGGGAGAGUACAUUAGAUGGGGACCAUGAAUGAAGGACAAGAUCAGUUAGGAAGCUGUUUUAAUUUGCAUGCGUGCUUCUUCAGUGACUACCCAUUGCCUGUGAAACAAGUUCAGGUUCCAUCACACGACGUUUAAAGUUCUCUAAAUCCUGGCCCCUGCUACACCAUUAGGCUUACCUCCUAAUACUCCAUGAUGGUCUCUCCACUACAGCUUGCCAACACAGCAUCUUCAGCCCAUUGUAAAUGAUUUCCCUCCAGCCUUUAACAUAUAGAGUUCUCACUUUUUCCAAUUUCCCUGAGAAUAUAUUCCCUCUUUCAAAUUCCAUCUGUUAUGUGAAGACUUCUGAACAAACCAAGUCAUAACAAACUUUAUUCUUCCUAAACAAUGGGUUGCACUUAAAAAAAAAAAGCAGAUAUAUCUCCUGCCACCUCUUGGAUGAUUGCUUCAUAUUAUCAUUUACCUUUUGUUUAGUUAUUUCAUUUUCCAUGUGUAUACAUAUGUCCCAUUUUCCCAACCACAAUGUAAAACCCCUAAGGGCAAAGACCUUCCUUAUGUUUCUGUGGAUCUCCCGCAGUCCCUGGUACCAUGCCAUACCCACAACCUGGCACUGGGUAUAUGCUGAUCUGCUGUGGAGGCAGCACUAAAACCCCUUCUCAGAACCGAGAUAACCAUCAAGUAAUCUAAUGACUAGAGCUGAGGGAGAAUCCUUAUCCAGGAUACACGGACUGAGACCGGGAAAGGAGAGAGUCUUCAGAAGGAAACGUGCCUGUUGCUGGAAGGAAAACAAAGGGGCUGGAUACAGGAUAAGAAGCCUUCUGGGAGAUAAAGAAGCAUGACAAGACCAUGCAAAUAAUUAUGAAUGGAACCAUACACUAACAAAGUGAAUGGGUCUCCACAUCGUUAAAGCCCCUGAAAGGGUCAAAAAAAUGAGGAGGUCAAAAGUAGACAGCAUCGUCAAUACACUUGGCCAAGGGGUUUUUGCAAUGGAAAAUACCUUUGAAGGACUAAUAGUUGAAUUGGCAUGUUUAAGUCAUUUUGGCAACCAGAACUGCAACCCUGUCUCCUGAAUAAGAUACUGCUGCUCUCGCAGAACAAAAGAACCGUUAACAACACCAACUAACCCGUGUAAUUCUCAUUUAUACAUUUUUAUUACCUUCCAUAUACUCUAUGUGAUACAUUACCCAUUCCAUUAAUUGUUAACAUACACGCAAGUCAAGAUCUUUUAUUAUGCGAGGUCAUCAGUCAGUGAUAACAGAGAUAUUGAUGAAUUAGUCUCCUCAUCAGAAGUUGAGCAACAUUUCCAUUCAAGAUGAUACAUGGACCUUUAAAACAUACUCAAUAAUAUUGAGUCUCAGUCUUCUGUUGCUUUUUUCUGAAUGUGCAUUUAGACCUUUACACAUCUAUUUAGUCAUCCAUUCAUUAAACAUUCAGCAUUAAUUUUCUACUCAUAGCACCAGAACCGUGUUUGUCUUAUUCACCAUUGUACCCUUACUGCAAGGACCUAGAACAUAGUAGGAUCUCAAUAAAUUCUUAGGAUUCAAAAUAAAUGAAUGAGGAUGUGGUAGGAAGAAUUCUAACAUGGCCCCCAUGACAUUCAUCUCCUGAUGUUACUCUGUUAAUAAUGUUACCUUACAUGGAAAAGGGGUCUUGAAGAUGUAACUAAGGCUAAUAAUUAGUCAACCUUAAGACAGGGAGAUUAUGUGGAUUAAUUUUGUGUAUUAAUCAAUUUUACAUAAAAAUUUUAAAGUCAGAGAGAUAAGCAUGUAAACAUCUCUAGAUAAGAGCCCAGCUCAGCUGAUGUCUUGAUUUCAAUCUUGUGAGACCUUAAGUGCAGAACCCAGUCGAGCCCACCUGGACUUCUGACUUACAGAGCAGUGAUAUAGCAAGUGUGUGUUCUUUUGCUAAUAAAUUUGUGACAAUUUGUUACCCAGCAAGCCUAGGUAGCUAAUACAGGGGGAUUUGGGGAGGAUGGUAGUAACGGUGACAGUGUAAUAUUUUAAUCUUGCCUUACAUUAAAAACAAACAUAGCAACUAAAUAGAAAAAAACAAAACUCAUGGACAACAUCGAAUUAAAAAAAAGGCAGGUAACAAAGCAUAUCUACAAACCUCAUAUUUCAAGCCGGAGGGUAGGGAUGAGAGCCCCAAGUCCCCACGGGUCAAACUCUGCCCAGAGGAAGCAGAGGUUAGAAAUGGAGUGCCCAGAUUUGAGAAUAGGAGAAACCUUAAAUAGCCAAUAGGAACUUACUGGGAAACAGUGGACCAGCUGAGGUGGCAGGCAAAGAUGGGGCUGCCAUGACCACUCUAAAAGCUGGUGAGUGUAAGAGGCCAGUGUGAGUCCUGAAAGGGGCAGGAGCUGUCCAGGCCACAGGAGCCCUCAGUGACAACAGCCAAAGCCCCCUGCCAGGACCAGGCUCCAUACUGAGAAGAAGCUCCUGGAAAGAGAAUCCAAAUUAAAGGUAGUAAAUAAAAGUAUAGAGUCGGGGGAGUUUGGAAUAACAGCCAGAGAAAUCUUAGAAAUUAAGCCACCAUUUGUGAAUACUAUAUGAAAACAGAUGAGGAAGCUCUAUGUGAUUAGAAAAAGAGAUAUACCUAAUGUAAA
rnacentral:lncRNA from 10 species